GGGGAUUUAGCUCGGCAGCAUAAGCGCCUGCCUUGCAAGCAGGUGGUCGUGAGUUCAAUCCCUG
rnacentral:tRNA from 1 species